GCUACCUAGGGUCCAGGAGGGGGGGGAGUACGGCGGGGGUAAGCGUUGGCCGGAAGCAGUGGGCGUAAAGCGCGCGUGGGCGGCCCGGUAAGUCCGCGGUGAAAGUCCAGGGCUCAACCCUGGAAAGCCGGUGGAUACUGUCGGGCUAGAGUCCGGAAGAGGCGAGUGGAAUUCCUGGUGUAGCGGUGGAAUGCGCAGAGAUCAGGAGGAACACCGAUGGCGAAGGCAGCUCGCUGGGACGGUACUGACGCUGAGGCGCGAAAGCGUGGGGAGCGAACAGGAUUAGAUACCCCGGUAGUC
rnacentral:rRNA from 1 species